rnacentral:rRNA from 1 species
AGAGUUUGAUCCUGGCUCAGGAUGAACGCUAGCGGGAGGUCUAACACAUGCAAGCCGAGCGGUAGAGAUUCUUCGGAAUCUUGAGAGCGGCGUACGGGUGCGGAACACGUGUGCAACCUGCCUUUAUCUGGGGGAUAGCCUUUCGAAAGGAAGAUUAAUACCCCAUAAUAUAUUGACUGGCGUCAGUUAAUAUUGAAAACUCCGGUGGAUAGAGAUGGGCACGCGCAAGAUUAGAUAGUUGGUGAGGUAACGGCUCACCAAGUCUACGAUCUUUAGNGGGGCCUGAGAGGGUGAUCCCCCACACUGGUACUGAGACACGGACCAGACUCCUACGGGAGGCAGCAGUGAGGAAUAUUGGACAAUGGGUGAGAGCCUGAUCCAGCCAUCCCGCGUGAAGGACGACGGCCCUAUGGGUUGUAAACUUCUUUUGUAUAGGGAUAAACCUACUCUCGUGAGAGUAGCUGAAGGUACUAUACGAAUAAGCACCGGCUAACUCCGUGCCAGCAGCCGCGGUAAUACGGAGGGUGCAAGCGUUAUCCGGAUUUAUUGGGUUUAAAGGGUCCGUAGGCGGAUCUGUAAGUCAGUGGUGAAAUCUCACAGCUUAACUGUGAAACUGCCAUUGAUACUGCAGGUCUUGAGUGUUGUUGAAGUAGCUGGAAUAAGUAGUGUAGCGGUGAAAUGCAUAGAUAUUACUUAGAACACCA